rnacentral:rRNA from 1 species
UGCUUGUCUCAAAGAUUAAGCCAUGCAUGUCUAAGCAUAAGCUGAAAAUGGUUAAGCCGCGAAUGGCUCAUUACAACAGCUGUUGUUUCUUGGAUCUUGUUUUACUUGGAUAACUGUGGUAAUUCUAGAGCUAAUACAUGUAAAAAAGCUCUGACCUUUUGGAAAGAGUGCAUUUAUUAGACCAAGACCAAUCAGGCAUUGCCUGUUUUGAUGGUGACUCUGAAUAACUUUGCUGAUCACAUAGUCCUAGCACUGGUGACAUAUCUUUCAAGUGUCUGCCCUAUCAACUUUCGAUGGUAGUUUAUGUGCCUACCAUGGUUGUAACGGGUGACGGAGAAUGAGGGUUCGACUCCGGAGAGGGAGCCUGAGAAAUGGCUACCACAUCCAAGGAAGGCAGCAGGCGCGCAAAUUACCCACUCUCAGUACGAGGAGGUAGUGACGAAAAAUAACAAGGUGGUUCUCUAUGAGGCCCAUCAUUGGAAUGGGUACAAUUUAAACCCUUUAACGAGGAUCUAUUGGAGGGCAAGUCUGGUGCCAGCAGCCGCGGUAAUUCCAGCUCCAAUAGCAUAUGCCAAUGUUGUUGCUGUUAAAAAGCUCGUAGUUGAAUUAUUCUACGGAUGGGGUCAGUCUUGAUGACUUCGACUCUUUUCCAAGGAUUACACCGUUGGUUUUCCCAGGUUCUCUUUAUUGGGUGCCUUGGGUGGCCAGCACAUUUACUUUGAAAAAAUUAGAGUGCUCAAAACAGGUGUUACUGCCUGUAUAGUGGUGCAUGGAAUAAUGGAAUAGGAUCUCUGUUCUAUUUUGUUGGUUUUAGGAAUGUGAGAUAAUGAUUAACAGGGACAGACGGGGGCAUUUGUAUUGUGGCGUUAGAGGUGAAAUUCUUGGAUCGCUGCAAGACAGACAAUUGCGAAAGCAUUUGCCAAGAAUGUUUUCAUUAAUCAAGAACGAAAGUUAGAGGUUCGAAGGCGAUCAGAUACCGCCCUAGUUCUAACCGUAAACGAUGCAAACUAGCGAUCCGAUGGCGUUAUUACUGACUCAUCGGGGAGCUUCCCGGAAACGAAAGUCUAUAUGUUCCGGGGGAAAUAUGAUUGCAAAAUUGAAACUUAAAGGAAUUGACGGAAGGGCACCACCAGGAGUGGAGCCUGCGGCUUAAUUUGACUCAACACGGGAAAACUCACCCGGCCCGGACACCGUUGGGAUUGACAGAUUGAGAGCUCUUUCUUGAUUCGGUGGGUGGUGGUGCAUGGCCGUUCUUAGUUGGUGGAGCGAUUUGUCUGGUUAAUUCCGAUAACGAACGAGACUCCGACCUGCUAAAUAGAUGGUGAAUCGCUUUGUUCACAAGUCUUCUUAGAGGGACUAGCGGUGCUAACCGCACGAGAUGGAGCAAUAACAGGUCUGUGAUGCCCUUAGAUGUCCGGGGCUGCACGCGCGCUACAAUGAAAGGACCAGCGUGCAAGUUAACCUUGCCCGAAGGGGCUGGGUAACCCAAUGAAAACCUUUCGUGACUGGGAUCGGGAAUUGCAAUUAUUUCCCUUGAACGAGGAAUUCCUAGUAAGUGUGGGUCAUCAGCUCGCGCUGAUUACGUCCCUGCCCUUUGUACACACCGCCCGUCGCUGCCCGGGACUGAACCGUUUCGAGAAGAACAGGGACUGGCAUUGAGUGGCCUUUUCGGGCUGCUCUCUGGCUGGAAACUGUUUUAAUCGGUAUGGUUUGAACCGGGCAAAAGUCGUAACAAGGUUUCUGUAGGUGAACCUGCAGAGGAUCAA